UACGAAGGGGGCUAGCGUUGCUCGGAAUGACUGGGCGUAAAGGGCGCGUAGGCGGAUGGCACAGUCAAGAUGUGAAAUUCCCGGGCUUAACCUGGGGGCUGCAUUUGAUACGUGUUGUCUAGAGUGAGGAAGAGGGUUGUGGAAUUCCCAGUGUAGAGGUGAAAUUCGUAGAUAUUGGGAAGAACACCGGUGGCGAAGGCGGCAACCUGGUCCUUGACUGACGCUGAGGCGCGAA
rnacentral:rRNA from 1 species